rnacentral:rRNA from 1 species
UUUAUGGAGAGUUUGAUCCUGGCUCAGAGUGAACGCUGGCGGCGUGCCUAAUACAUGCAAGUCGAACGAUGAAGCUUCUAGCUUGCUAGAAUGCUGAUUAGUGGCGCACGGGUGAGUAACGCAUAGGUCAUGUGCCUCUUAGUUUGGGAUAGCCAUUGGAAACGAUGAUUAAUACCAGAUACUCCCUACGGGGGAAAGAUUUAUCGCUAAGAGAUCAGCCUAUGUCCUAUCAGCUUGUUGGUAAGGUAAUGGCUUACCAAGGCUAUGACGGGUAUCCGGCCUGAGAGGGUGAACGGACACACUGGAACUGAGACACGGUCCAGACUCCUACGGGAGGCAGCAGUAGGGAAUAUUGCUCAAUGGGGGAAACCCUGAAGCAGCAACGCCGCGUGGAGGAUGAAGGUUUUAGGAUUGUAAACUCCUUUUGUUAGAGAAGAUAAUGACGGUAUCUAACGAAUAAGCACCGGCUAACUCCGUGCCAGCAGCCGCGGUAAUACGGAGGGUGCAAGCGUUACUCGGAAUCACUGGGCGUAAAGAGCGCGUAGGCGGGAUAGUCAGUCAGGUGUGAAAUCCUAUGGCUUAACCAUAGAACUGCAUUUGAAACUACUAUUCUAGAGUGUGGGAGAGGUAGGUGGAAUUCUUGGUGUAGGGGUAAAAUCCGUAGAGAUCAAGAGGAAUACUCAUUGCGAAGGCGACCUGCUGGAACAUUACUGACGCUGAUUGCGCGAAAGCGUGGGGAGCAAACAGGAUUAGAUACCCUGGUAGUCCACGCCCUAAACGAUGGAUGCUAGUUGUUGGAGGGCUUAGUCUCUCCAGUAAUGCAGCUAACGCAUUAAGCAUCCCGCCUGGGGAGUACGGUCGCAAGAUUAAAACUCAAAGGAAUAGACGGGGACCCGCACAAGCGGUGGAGCAUGUGGUUUAAUUCGAAGAUACACGAAGAACCUUACCUAGGCUUGACAUUGAGAGAAUCCGCUAGAAAUAGUGGAGUGUCUAGCUUGCUAGACCUUGAAAACAGGUGCUGCACGGCUGUCGUCAGCUCGUGUCGUGAGAUGUUGGGUUAAGUCCCGCAACGAGCGCAACCCCCUUUCUUAGUUGCUAACAGGUCAUGCUGAGAACUCUAAGGAUACUGCCUCCGUAAGGAGGAGGAAGGUGGGGACGACGUCAAGUCAUCAUGGCCCUUACGCCUAGGGCUACACACGUGCUACAAUGGGGUGCACAAAGAGAAGCAAUACUGCGAAGUGGAGCCAAUCUUCAAAACGCCUCUCAGUUCGGAUUGUAGGCUGCAACUCGCCUGCAUGAAGCUGGAAUCGCUAGUAAUCGCAAAUCAGCCAUGUUGCGGUGAAUACGUUCCCGGGUCUUGUACUCACCGCCCGUCACACCAUGGGAGUUGUGUUUGCCUUAAGUCAGGAUGCUAAAUUAGCUACUGCCCACGGCACACACAGCGACUGGGGUGAAGUCGUAACAAGGUAACCGUAGGUGAACCUGCGGUUGGAUCACCUCCUUUCUAGA